CUGCAGUCUCUUUUUAGAUUUUUUUUACUUCAUUCCUAUGAAGUUAUCAAAUUUCUUAUUUCCUUUUCCUGGGCCACACCUCUCCAUCUGGAGUCUGUGGCUAAAAAUAAAUCCUUUUUGGUCGCAUUCUAUGUUAUGGUUCAUACUCACUGUCUCUUCUUCUUCCUUCCUUCCUCCUCAUCUCUGGUACUCUCUGGUUCUGAAACUUGGAUCUAAGAAAGAGCUCUGUUAUUCCAAUAUAGAUUCUUCUUCAGCUACCUCUCCUGGAGGCUUCAAGGAUUCAAACUUAUUCCUAUGGCCUUCUAUUUUCAUAUAUCUCUUCUGUCUGAGUCAGGGAUCUUUUGACCUUUUAAAAUUGUGACCCUUGUUUGGGGAGAAUUAUUUACCAGACUUUAACAAGUACUAUGGCAUUACAAGGAAAAUAAGCACAUGCAUGCACUUGGGCAGAAUCAUAUAAAAUGCAUAUGAUUUACAAAUACAUACUGUUUUUUAGAAAAGUUAUUAUUAUAGUCCUAGCAACUAACAUGUCUCAUAAUUACAUGUAGGCAAAUAUAUCUCCUUCCCAUAGUAAUCAGGAUAAUCUUUGGACAGUAACAGAAAAUCCAACAAUGUUUUAAAACUAAAAAGGGGUUAUCAUUUAUCUUACUAAAAAUAAAAAAAAAGUCAGGAGGUAGUGGCACCUAGUGUUGGAUUUUAAAAUUGACAUAAGGCCUAAAAUCUCACUGAUUAUUUUUGGCUUAUCACCCUAUAGUCCCAAGAAGGCUGCUGCCCUACAGGCAUUAGCUCUGUGCUCAAGGCAAGAAGAAAAGGAAAGGGAGAACUAGUCACAAUUUUCCUCUUUUAAUAGGAAAACAGAAGCCUCCACUACCAUUAUCACCUCCAACAAAUUUCUGCUCACAUCUCAGCAGCUGCUAGAAAUUUCUCAUCACUAUAGUACAGGCAUGCAAGAGAGUUAGGAAGAGAUGUUGAUUCAGCCAAUCAACAGUGUUUGCCAUACCCCAGAUGCAGAGAACUCCUCAACGGAAAGGAUUAAGAGUAUAGCCAUUUUUAUGUGCCCAGUACUUACCAGGUUUGACAUAUUUGUAGAUACCAAAUAAAUAUUUAUUGAAUUAUAAUCCUUUAUGGCUAAUAUUAUUUAUUACUUCUCAAUCUAUAAUUGAAUUAAGAUUUUCAAAAAGCAUUUACCAGGGAUAUUGGACUAUGUAUUCUUAUAUUAUUAAAUUGAAAUUAAGACUAUAGUCAUCAAAUAUAUCGAUAUAGCAUUUCAUGUGACCAAAAUUAUAUUAAAAGAAUAAAAUCUGUGCAAUAUAGAAUAAGUUUGGAAUAACAAAGAAAAUGUGACUUUAGGUUUAUGUUUUGGUUGUAAAAUACCUUUCUGCUUUAUUUUUCCUGUGUGAUAUUUUAAUCCUUCCUCUAAAGGGCUCAUUUAUUCUGUUUUUUAUAAUACAUUAUUUCAGAGGUUACAAAUAAAGUAGAAUACACAAUUGCUAAUAAAAUAAUAGGAAUUAAAUUAUAGAGUGCAUUCAGGGUACCAGAAAGUGCUUUACAGUGCUGCACUGGAUUUUAUCAUCAAUAUUUAUGGAAACUUUUCAUUCUAUUUCAUAAUAUAUACAUGUGGGUUAUAAUAUAAACUAGUACUUUUUCCCCAAAAUUGUCAUCAAAAUUCAAACCUGAUGAUGUACCAAGUUCAUCCUAGGAUUUAUGAAACUUUAAUAAUAAUGAUGAUAAUGAUGACAGCAAAUAUGUAGAGUGCUUAUACGUGCCAGGUACUUAUCUCAGCACUUUAUAUAUAUGAACUCAUUUAAUCCUUAUAACAGCCCUAUAGGUAGGUACUAUCUUCAUCCACACAUACAGAAGAGGAGACUAAAGCGAAAAUUGAAGUAAUUUGCCUAAGGACUUGCAGGUAGCAAGUGGCAGAGGUGAGAUUCAGCCGAAGGUCAUCUGGCUCAGGAGCCUGGGCUCUUAAUCACUUGCUCCUGAAACCCACUGUGUAUCCGCAGGCGUGCCCAUUCAUGGUUUUAACAAACAUAUUUUCUCCUCUCAUUUCAAGCACUCUACUAUGUAGGCAUUAUUUUCUACAUUUAAUAUGAGGAAACAGAAGCUUAAGAAAGUUAUAGUAACUUGCCAAAAAUCAUGAGACCAGUAAAUAUAAUUCAAACACAACUCUCUCUUAAUUGUGAAAUCUACAUUCUUAUACACCAUUCAGUGUAUAACUGACUGACUGACAAAUGGAGAAAACCUUCCAAUGAGUAAUGUACUUCCUAUGAUGUCACAAAGUAUAAAGAAUAUCACAAGGUCACAGAAUUUCAGAGCUGAAAGGGGUCAUAUUUCAACUCACUAGUUUUACAGGUGGGGAACUGAAAUCCAUAGAAAGUAGACAUGCCGCCACCUCACUGCAAGAUCUCCUAUAUCCCCACCUAUAUAUAGCAUCUCUAGAAUUCUGCUGAUAGAACAAGUGCUUACUAGGUGAGAAGAAAGGAAGACAGGAAGGAGUGAAGGAAAGGAAGAAAAUACAAGAAGGGGAGAUGAGGAAAGGAAAGAAGAGAGAAGGAAAAGGAGGAGAUAUCUGAACGAGUCAACUAGGUCUUUUUUAUUCCCCACAUGGAAUUUACUGAAAAUUUUACAUCUGACAUUCAACUGACAUUCAUCUGAAACUGGCAUUCCUGGAUUAUUUUAAUGACUCACUUAGAAAUAUCAAAUAUAGAUAUUUCUGUCAAUGACA